CUAGUAUUUAUAUUUUAAAGCAUUUCGCGAAUUGUAUCUAAGAAUUAUUUACAUUCAAGUUUCAUUAUUUUGUAUUGAUUAAGAAAUUUUGAAAAGUCUUCAAAACAAGAGAUUAUUUAGUCAGUUUCAGAAGUUUUUUUCAACUAUCGCAAGUUGAAGUUGAGAAAUCUUCUCUCACGCUGCCCAAAAGAUCCAUUGCUUCAAUUUACGAGAUUUAUAAUGGUUCUAUCGACUGACGAAAAGCUUGUAAGGAAGUGUCUUAAAUGGUUCUAAGGAAGGGUCUGUUGUCGCUAAAAUCAACGCCACUGUGAUUUAUUUGAAAGGACAUAUCUGAACAUAGUAAUAACAAAAUUUUAGCUGCUAUGGACAACAUGGACAAAAAUAUACGAAGCCAAUCAAACAUAGGAUACGUUGUUGAAGUUUAUGUUACUGCUGAAAAAUAUAUGACAGGUAAAAAUUUCGAGUAAAUUACUUUUGACGGAGCAAAGAGCGCUAUAUUGUGGAGAUAACAAGAAGUUGCAGAAUGACGGCAAUUUAUAAAGUUGCAAAGCUGCAUAGAGAGGACAAUGUUCGUUUACAGUUCUAUCACAAAUUAAAUACGUUCUUUAUCCAUGACGAACUUCGUAACUGUCGAAACAAAUGGCGACAAAAAUCCAGCGUGGUUUGACGAGUAGUGCAAGGAUAGAAAACGGAUUACAAUGAAAGUGAUAAAAUGUACGAAACUCUUCUAUUCCAAUUAAAAAUGCUACUUUUUAUUGUAAUUUUGUUAUGUAUUUGAAUAAAUUAUUUAAUGAUUAAUUUGAUAUUUUUAUUUACUAAUAACACAAAACUAC